rnacentral:rRNA from 1 species
AACGAACGCUGGCGGCAUGCCUAACACAUGCAAGUCGAACGAGACCUUCGGGUCUAGUGGCGCACGGGUGCGUAACGCGUGGGAACCUGCCCUUAGGUUCGGAAUAACUCCCCGAAAGGGGUGCUAAUACCGGAUAAUGUCUUCGGACCAAAGAUUUAUCGCCUUUGGAUGGGCCCGCGUUGGAUUAGCUAGGUGGUAGGGUAAAAGCCUACCAAGGCGACGAUCCAUAGCUGGUCUGAGAGGAUGAUCAGCCACACUGGGACUGAGACACGGCCCAGACUCCUACGGGAGGCAGCAGUGGGGAAUAUUGGACAAUGGGCGAAAGCCUGAUCCAGCAAUGCCGCGUGAGUGAUGAAGGCCUUAGGGUUGUAAAGCUCUUUUACCCGGGAUGAUAAUGACAGUACCGGGAGAAUAAGCUCCGGCUAACUCCGUG